CUGACUGCUAUCGGAUUGGUACUAAGCCAUGUGAGUCGUUGUAGCAAUACAAGGCAUACGGCUCAGUAACACGUAGUCAAUCUAACCUAUGGACGGGGAUAACCUCGGGAAACUGAGGAUAAACCCCGAUAGAUCAUAAUGCCUGGAACGGUUUAUGGUUCAAGUGAUUCGUCGCCGUAGGGUGGGACUGCGGCCUAUCAGCUUGUUGGUGAGGUAAUGGCCCACCAAGGCUAUUACAGGUACGGGCUCUGAGAGGAGUAGCCCGGAGAUGGGUACUGAGACACGGACCCAGGCCCUAUGGGGCGCAGCAGGCGAGAAACCUUUGCAAUGUGCGCAAGCACGACAAGGUUAAUCCGAGUGAUUCCUGCUUAAGGAAUCUUUUGUUAGCCGUAAAACCACUAUUGAAUAAGGGGUGGGCAAGUUCUGGUGUCAGCCGCCGCGGUAAAACCAGCACCUCAAAUGGUCAGGAUGAUUAUUGGGCCUAAAGCAUCCGUAGCCUGUUCUGUAAGUUUCCGGUUAAAUCCAUUAACUCAACUAAUGGGCUGCCGAAAAUACUGCAGAACUAGGGAGUGGGAGAGGUAGACGGUACUCGGUAGGAAGGGGUAAAAUCCUUUGAUCUAUUGAUGACCACCUGUGGCGAAGGCGGUCUACCAUAACACGUUCGACGGUGAGGGAUGAAAGCUGGGGGAGCAAACCGGAUUAGAUACCCGGGUAGUCCCAGCUGUAAACGAUGCAAACUCGGUGAUGCCCUGGCUUGUGGCCAGUGCAGUGCCGCAGGGAAGCCGUUAAGUUUGUCGCCUGGGAAGUACGUACGCAAGUAUGAAACUUAAAGGAAUUGGCGGGGGAGCACCGCAAGGGGUGAAGCCUGC
rnacentral:rRNA from 1 species